rfam:Gossypium raimondii Chr13_contig_387, whole genome shotgun sequence.
AGUUCAAAUUUUAAUCAUUUAUACUGUUAAAAACUGGCGUAGUUGACAGGCGUAGCUGACGGAAUAACCAGACAAGUGCACAUAGCAUGCCACAUGUACCUCAUGUCAAGAUACAAAGACCAGUUUUUAACCAUAGAAAUGGAUAAAAUUUUUAACU